UUUCUCAAAAAUCUCAAAUCUACCUCCAUUCAACAACACCAAAAAGAUUUUAUUUUAUACACAGCAGCCAAAAUCCACACUCUGUCAUGGCAAAGGCUUAGCUUUUUCUCUGUGUUACUCUAACUUAAAUUUUACAGCUCAAACUUCAACCUUUUUGUGUAUCACUGUGAAAUGAACGUUGGGUACUCACUUGCAGAUCGAAUCUAGCAUUUUCAGGGAGCAUUUCUCGUUUUUCAUUGCUGGUUUCUUGGUGUCACAUCUUGUUCACUGUAUGUCCAAGGGAACUGCAGCGCAGCGUAGUCUGUCAGAUGUUCUUCAGUAGCCUUAUUAUGCUUGACCUGCGCCGAGAUGGGCGGCUUCUCUUUGAAAAUUCGGGAGCUGUUGUUUUCAAGUGUGCUGCUGCUUUGCAUUUUCUCAAGAGUUGCGCUAGCUCUCAGUCCUGAUGGUCAAGCGCUUGUCAACUUUAGGAUCUCAGUACUUGGUUCAGAUGGUGUUCUUAAGCAGUGGAGACCAGAAGAUUCGGACCCAUGUGGCUGGAAAGGAGUACUUUGUGACCCAAAAUCAAAGAGAGUUAUAUCAUUAAUCCUCCCUGAUCACAAGCUCAGUGGAUCUAUAUCGCCAGAUAUCGGGAAGCUAGACCAGUUGCAGUUUCUAGCUCUUCAUGACAAUAAUUUCUAUGGGACAAUACCUCCUGCAUUGGGAAAUUGUACAAAACUGAAAUCUUUGUUUCUACAGGGUAACUAUUUAAGCGGAUGGAUUCCUGAUGAGUUGGGGAACCUUCCUGAGCUUGAGAAUCUAGAUCUUUCAAGCAACUCUCUUAGCGGAAACAUUCCACCAUCCCUUGGCAAGCUGAACAAUCUUGUCUCUUUCAACGUGUCGACAAAUUUCUUGGUUGGGCAAAUACCUACUGAUGGACACCUUGNUUGAUUAGUACCCAGCAGAUUUCUUGGAAAUCGUAAUUUGUGUGGCCAGCAAAUCAGUCAGGACUGUAAAGCUGGAGGUCCUUCAUUUUCCCGGUCCCCAGUUGCAGCCCAAAACCAAAGUAAGAAUGGUCGACUACUGAUAAGUGCAUCUGCCACUGUGGGUGCUCUGCUAUUGGUGGCACUGAUGUGUUUCUGGGGCUGUUUCCUCUACAAGAGACUGGGUAAAAAUGAUGGCAAAAGCCUUGCAAUGGAUGUUUGUGCAGGUGCAUCGAUUGUCAUGUUUCAUGGAGAUUUGCCCUACUCUUCAAAGGAUAUCAUCAAAAAGCUGGAGACUCUGAAUGGAGAACACAUAAUUGGUUCUGGGGGAUUUGGAACUGUAUACAAGCUUGCAAUGGAUGACGGCAAUGUAUUUGCCUUGAAGAGAAUUAUCAAGAUGAAUGAAGGCUUUGAUAGGUUCUUCGAGAGGGAGCUGGAAAUUCUUGGAAGCAUUAAGCACCGAUAUCUGGUAAAUCUGCGAGGAUAUUGCAAUUCUCCAACAUCGAAGUUGUUGAUAUAUGACUUCUUAUCCGGAGGUAGCCUAGAUGAAGUUCUGCACGAGAGAUCUGAGCAACUAGACUGGGGUGCACGGCUAACUGUAAUCAUGGGAGCUGCGAAAGGGUUGGCAUAUUUACAUCAUGAUUGUUCCCCUCGAGUAAUCCACCGUGACAUAAAGGCUAGCAACAUUUUGCUUGAUGGCAAUUUUGAGGCUCGAGUAUCUGAUUUUGGACUGGCCAAAUUACUCGGAGAUGAGGAGUCUCACAUCACAACAAUUGUAGCUGGCACAUUUGGGUAUUUAGCUCCAGAAUACAUGCAGAGUGGUAGGGCUACAGAAAAGACUGAUGUUUAUAGUUUUGGAGUUCUGGUUCUUGAAGUCAUAAGUGGAAAGCGGCCCACUGAUGCAUCAUAUAUUGAGAAGGGCUUCAAUAUUGUUGGCUGGCUGAAUUUUCUCGCAUCUGAGAAUAGACGAAUGGAGAUAGUUGAUCCACAUUGUGAACGAGUACAGACUGAAAGCCUUGAUGCCCUGCUUUCAGUUGCCACACAGUGUGUCUCUUCAAGCCCCGAUGACAGGCCAACCAUGCACAGGGUUGUUCAGAUUCUUGAAUCUGAAGUCAUGACACCAUGUCCCAGUGACUUCUAUGAUUCAAACUCUGAUUGAAUGCGCUAUUGCUGGAUGCAAAGAACGUUAACCUUUGAGUUUGCAUCUGCAACUUCAUGCAAUAAAUUGAGUGAUGCAAGCAUUGGGGGUUUAAAGUCUGCAAAGAUUCUUUUCUCUACUCUAUUUGUCGAUUCUUUCUGCAGAUUUUUGACAAAAGAAGACCAUUUCAACUGUCAUCAUUCCUCAAAUUCAGAGUUUCCAGCUAGUUAUCACGAGGUUAAGCGUGCUUAAUUCUAUUUUUGAUUUCAUCAUUUUGCUCUGGUGCAUUGAGCUUUUCAUUUCGCCAGGGGAACGGAAUCUGUACGAGUGGUAUGAGCAAUCAAACCCUUUUUCUUUCAUUUGCUUUUCUGUUUGUAGCCUUGUUAUAGUUGUAUAUGGAAACGAUUGAAUUGAUUUUGCAUCUACCUCCUUUUUGUAAAUUAUGUUUCCCCACAAUAGCUGAUUUAUCAGUUGAAUACAAGUAUUUUUGUUUUUCUAUUUUAUUUCUAUUAAUCUCU